GACGAACGCUGGCGGCGUGCUUAACACAUGCAAGUCGAACGAGACGAAUUAGAAGCUUGCUUUUAUUGAGUCGAGUGGCAAACGGGUGAGUAACGCGUAGACAACCUGCCGUAAAGAUGGGGACAACAGUUCGAAAGGACUGCUAAUACCGAAUGUUGUAGAGUUUCCGCAUGGGGAUCCUACUAAAGGUGGCCUCUACUUGUAAGCUAUCGCUUUACGAUGGGUCUGCGUCUGAUUAGCUAGUUGGUGGGGUAACGGCCUACCAAGGCGACGAUCGGUAGCCGGACUGAGAGGUUGAACGGCCACAUUGGAACUGAGAUACGGUCCAGACUCCUACGGGAGGCAGCAGUGGGGAAUAUUGGGCAAUGGGCGAAAGCCUGACCCAGCGACGCCGCGUGAAGGAAGAAGGCCUUCGGGUUGUAAACUUCAGUCAACAGGGAAGAAAGAAAUGACGGUACCUGUGGAGGAAGCCACGGCUAACUACGUG
rnacentral:rRNA from 1 species